UCAUACCUGACAGUGCAAGGUUCCCCGAUGGAUGCAAAGCGUUCGGGGGAAUAAUUGGGAAUGACGUGAUGGUGGACCCAAACAGGGCGCCCAAUCGUCAGCCGCCCCCGCGACUGUAAGCGGUGAGCCCCUGCCAUAUGCCACUGGGAUAGUCAAACCCGGGAAGGCGGCAGUAAGGUGACGACCCGUGAGCCAGGAGACCAGCCUUUGCGUUUCGUUCAAC
rnacentral:ncRNA from 2 species